rnacentral:rRNA from 1 species
GGGUUGUGAGGUUAAGCGACUAAGCGUACACGGUGGAUGCCCUGGCAGUCAGAGGCGAUGAAGGGCGUGCUAAUCUGCGAUAAGCGCCGGUAAGGUGAUAUGAACCGUUAUAACCGGCGAUACCCGAAUGGGGAAACCCAGUGUGACUUGUCACACUAUCAUUAACUGAAUCCAUAGGUUAAUGAGGCGAACCGGGGGAACUGAAACAUCUAAGUACCCCGAGGAAAAGAAAUCAACCGAGAUUCCCCCAGUAGCGGCGAGCGAACGGGGAGGAGCCCAGAGCCUGAAUCAGCAUGUGUGUUAGUGGAAGCGUCUGGAAAGGCGCGCGAUACAGGGUGACAGCCCCGUACACAAAAGCGCAUGUGCUGUGAGCUCGAUGAGUAGGGCGGGACACGUGGUAUCCUGUCUGAAUAUGGGGGGACCAUCCUCCAAGGCUAAAUACUCCUGACUGACCGAUAGUGAACCAGUACCGUGAGGGAAAGGCGAAAAGAACCCCGGCGAGGGGAGUGAAAAAGAACCUGAAACCGUGUACGUACAAGCAGUGGGAGCCCCACCACCAAAGCAUUCUCUGGUGUUGAAGGCCCUGCAAAGCAGCAUCGCGGUGGCGGAGCGUCGUUUGCGGCGCCCAACACACAAAACAAGCGGUGAGUGCUUUGGGGUGGGGUGACUGCGUACCUUUUGUAUAAUGGGUCAGCGACUUAUAUUCUGUAGCAAGGUUAACCGAAUAGGGGAGCCGAAGGGAAACCGAGUCUUAAUUGGGCGUUAAGUUGCAGGGUAUAGACCCGAAACCCGGUGAUCUAGCCAUGGGCAGGUUGAAGGUUGGGUAACACUAACUGGAGGACCGAACCGACUAAUGUUGAAAAAUUAGCGGAUGACCUGUGGCUGGGGGUGAAAGGCCAAUCAAACCGGGAGAUAGCUGGUUCUCCCCGAAAGCUAUUUAGGUAGCGCCUCGUGAACUCAUCUCCGGGGGUAGAGCACUGUUUCGGCUAGGGGGUCAUCCCGACUUACCAACCCGAUGCAAACUGCGAAUACCGAAGAAUGUUAUCACGGGAGACACACGGCGGGUGCUAACGUCCGUCGUGAAGAGGGAAACAACCCAGACCGCCAGCUAAGGUCCCAAAGUCAUGGUUAAGUGGGAAACGAUGUGGGAAGGCCCAGACAGCCAGGAUGUUGGCUUAGAAGCAGCCAUCAUUUAAAGAAAGCGUAAUAGCUCACUGGUCGAGUCGGCCUGCGCGGAAGAUGUAACGGGGCUAAACCAUGCACCGAAGCUGCGGCAGCGAACGUAUCACCCAAGACAACUUUGCACAGUUAACGAUUGACGGAGCGAAGCGACGUCAAAGCGUUUUACAACGUCGAGUUGGCUUAGGGAUACGUU